GGUUGCUCACCAGCAGUCUUCUCCAUACCUUGCGUCAUGGAUAAGGCCCAGAAGUUCCUGCAUGCAUUUAAAGGGGUCUUUGACCGCAGCUGUUUGAGAUCCGUGGUUUGCCAUCAGGCACCAUAAGAAGGGAUGAAGUGACUUUCACAGCAGAGGAUAAGGGUGGAUCACCGACACCCAGAGAGGUCUAUAGAGUCAGUGAGAGCUGAGAUGAGGCCAGCCCAGCCAAAGAACACCAUUGUUCCUGACCAAGCUGAGAGAGACUAGACCACAGGUUAAACCAGCUGCCAAUGUCAACUGCAGAGGCCAGCCAGGUGGGCAGCAACAGGACCGCCAAGGAGCACCACAAAAAACAGAGGACACGACAUAGCUCUGAGGACCCACCACUCCACUGCCUUAAGCCCACAAUUUAUUAUUUCUCUCUCUCACCAGACCAUAAGUUCCGUGAGGUUGAGGACCACUUCUGUGUUAUUCAUCAGUUUAUCCUCAGCACCCAGUACAAUGCCCCGCCCAAAGUAAAGCUCCAUUCCUAUUUGUUGAACAGAAGAGUAAAUGAAUGUUUGACUCCUACACAGCCCAAUACAAGCAUCACCUCGCUGCAGAAGCUUUUCCUGACCCCUCCCAGCUAAAUUGGGCUUCCUGGUAUGGUACUCAUCACGGUGUAUUGUGGACAUUGAUUUUUCUCAUAUUUUUCCCCAUCCCCAGGCCAGUUGAUUAUUAAGACAAAGGAUUGUGUUUAUUCUUUGUGCUGACCACAGUGCCUGGCCCCCAUGGCAAGGGGUCCAUACAUGUCUAUUGGAUUAAUGAAAAUUGAAUACAUGAAAACUACCAGGUUCCGUGACAGCUCACAGCUCCAGCUACAAUCGCCUCCAGGAGGACAGAGCUUCAUUCCCCCUUGUAACCCUGCUCCAGCAUAGUGCCGGGCACAGAGAAGCGGGGACAGAAUAGACCAGCAGAAAGCAAAAGCUCAAAACCUGUGUGGACACUCAUCUGAAUACGUUACCCGCUGGGAACCUGGCCCCACGAGGUUCCAACUGACAGGAAAUAAUAGCACACGGAUGGAAAAAGCUCUAACCUUGUCACGACAACCAUGUAGGGCGGGGCCUUAAGGAAAGCUCUGGAGUGGCAGUGGACCACCUGACUGACCUGGAUGCCUGGAGACUAACUUUUACAAAGAUGAAGGUCCCCUCUGCAAAAGAAGGCGGCUCCCUGGUGCCUUAGAAACUGACGAGUGUAGCUCGAAGCUCUGCAGGCACGUUUUCUUGCUCCAGAAGGCAGUGAGAGUCUCUCGGGCUGUUGUGCAGCUGCAAGAACUCAUAAAGCCAGUACCGUGACUUCAUCUCUGGCCUGGGAGCAGAAUAUGACACAGAGCAGGAGCCAUCAGCUAGUGCUAAAUUGAGGUGAACAGGAAAGACUGGGAAAGACUGGAAAAGUCUGGAGUCUAGUUGCAUACAUUCAAAACUGCACCCUGCUAUGAUGGAAGAAUUUUGCCAUAAGUUAACAGUAUCUUGAAUACACAUUGAGGGGACUGGUAUGUGUGCAGGUAUCUGACUCAGGUUUCAUUUAAGAGAUGCCCGAUAUCCUUCAUCUGGCUCUGAAAUGGCUUGUUGGGUCUCCACCACACAGGGAAUUCAUUCUAGCUUUGAGUUGGUUUUGGUCAUUCCCUAAUGCUGAGGGGGGUGUGUGUGUUUAGUGGUAUACAUUUGAGUAGGGAGUUUGAGAGAUGUUGCGCUUCGGAACUGUGAAAAUUCUCUUGCUUUGGUAGGAGAAAUUUGGGAUGUCUAAGGACAUGCGCUAAUCUGUGGUGAGGGUUGGUUUGGAAAACGCCGUUGGUGGUGGUGGGUUUAUAUAUGUAUAUUUUUAUUGAAG
ensembl:lncRNA